rnacentral:rRNA from 1 species
AGAUUGAACGCUGGCGGCAGGCCUAACACAUGCAAGUCGAGCGGCAGCACGGGUACUUGUACCUGGUGGCGAGCGGCGGACGGGUGAGUAAUGCCUAGGAAUCUGCCUGAUAGUGGGGGAUAACGUUCGGAAACGGACGCUAAUACCGCAUACGUCCUACGGGAGAAAGCAGGGGACCUUCGGGCCUUGCGCUAUCAGAUGAGCCUGGGUCGGAUUAGCUAGUUGGUGAGGUAAUGGCUCACCAAGGCGACGAUCCGUAACUGGUCUGAGAGAUGAUCAGUCACACUGAACUGAGACACGGCCCAGACUCCUACGGGAGCAGCA